CCCAUUAGAAACUGAAAUACCUUAUUUUCAUCAUUUUCAUGUAUUAUACCAUCUUUGGUAGCACAAACACAUCUUUGCCCAUGAUUGGCACACACUGAUUCUAAUUCAUCCCACAGACCUUUGAGUUUAUUAAAAUAUGAAGCUACAUCUAGGGACCCUUGAGAGGUGUGAGAAAGCUCUCUUUUCAAUUCAAAAUUUUUGGUCCUG
rnacentral:lncRNA from 1 species